AGCCUCCUGAAUCCGUGAAGAGAUUUUGUCGGACAUCAGGACUGAUGAGACUCUCAAGAAAAGUGAAGCG
rfam:Schistosoma haematobium scaffold448_3, whole genome shotgun sequence.